CGCGGCCAGGGGGGCACCGCCGCGAGGACCCAUCCGUCUCCGGCUUCGCGCCCCGGGGCCGCGCGGCUGCUGGGGCGGGCAGGCGCGAGCCCUGGCCCCAGCUCGCCCCGCCGCCCUGGCACCGAGGCGGCUGCCGGAACGCGCUCGGCGGCUGCGUUCCGAGGCUCCGGCUGCCAUGAUUGCGGGCAGCGGGGCGCGCGCGCAGGCUCGGGCCCGACUCGGGGACCCCGGGCGGACCGACGGUCUCUGGCCUGCGCGCAGACCCGUGCGCGCCGCGGAGAGCGGCUAGGGUCGCCGGGCUCGGCACUGCAGGGGCCAGCGUGUGCCACGGAGCUCUAGACGAGGUCCCGGGACAGGGCUCGGGGUCCACGGCGGCGGGCUUCCCCCGGUGCAGGGCGCGCGCCAGGGCGACCCCGCGGCGGCUUUCCGGACGGCGCGGGUCCGGCGGAGGGAGGGGCGCGGUGCCAGAAACAACUUCCUGCUCCCCUGGCCCGGAGCGUAGGAGCUGCGGAGAGAAGUUCUAGGCCGCAGCUUUGCUCUCUCCGAGACCGACGACUACACUGCAACACCCCGGGGCCGCGCGGUUCCCUCCCGCGCCCCCUUCCGGGGGUCGCGACAGGCAGGGCUCCAGGGCCCGGACACUGGUUAUAAUGCCAAGGAGGCCUCAGCAGCUUGAACCGCCGGCUCCGCGGGGGCGCCUGAGUGGUUUCCCCGCAGAGAGGCCGACCUGGGCCUCCGUCGCUCGGGGACGACACCGGGUCACUAUGCUCGGACCCCCUCUCCCUGUCCAGGCAUGCCCUCUCUCAGAGCCAGAUGGACCUGGCUGUCCCAGGACGCCUGCGACGGGGGCCCGAGGGGAACAAGGUCUCCUGGGCCCCAUCCCAAUGUCUCUCUGUGCCUGUCUCCCCCCAGCACCCCCCCCCCCCCAGCCGGCCUUGGCAUUCUAACCAGUGUCCCUUGACGUCACAUCUCGCCAUUUCUGUCAACCAAUUGAAACUUGCUCGUUGUCAUAAAAAUAUAUAUACUUUUUAUGCCAUUGGUACAUUCAAAAGUUCCUCGUGUGCCCUUGCUUACCAGGAAACUCCAUUCUAUAUUGGAUUGGACUGCCCAGAAAGAGGAAACUGGCCGCUCAGGCAGGGCUGGGCUGGGGCCUGGGUUGCCCACCCACCCACCCACCUUGGAAGCUUUCUAGGCCCCUAUGACCUUGGCCUUGAACUGUGGCUGGACACCCACCUGUGAGAUACAUGGUUUCACCAGGAGGGGAAAAGCUCCCAGCCCCGACUAGGCCUGUGGGGUGAGAGAGCACGUCCUACAAACUGAGUAUGUGCAAGGCAGUCCCAAAGAGCCACCCGGAACCCUCUAUCACCUCCCCCCGCUGCUGUGGCCACACCGAGGAAGGACCCAAGCACCACUUGCCAUGAUACACGCCCCCCAGCCCCCCAUCUCUACUGCAUGGUUCAACGGCUUUAAAAAAAAAAACCCAUCAGACAUUCUGUGGCUUAGCAACUUUGGGGACUCCAGAACAACAAUACUUUUCGAGACCGGCUGAAUGCAGAGAUCUAAACACACUAAGUCUCGGGCGCUUUUCAUACCAAACCUUGUUUUUCCAAAAUAAUGAGCAAGCUCGAAACCUGGAACAUUUACUCUGUUGGUGAGCGUGAUUAUGAUGGACAGGCUUCCUGGAGAAAGAACUUGGUCUGGGUCUGUGAGCCACGCCGUGCCUCAGAUCUGCCUAAUGGGAAUGCAGCUGGCGACUUCCUGCUCUGCCUCCGAGCCCGUGUCCCCGGCCCAGCGUCCGGCCUCAGAACAGCCCAGAAGGCCGCGGGCACUCCAGUUUACUGUCCCUUUUCCCUACGCGGCGACUUCUAAUAGUUCAAAAAAAAAUUCGGUGUACAAGACAUUCCAAGGACUUAGUAAACAGAUGCGUUUAAUCUCAUUAAAAGCAAGCAGGAUGCGUGUGAGUGAGAA